rnacentral:rRNA from 1 species
AGGGCCUACGGGGGGCAGCAGUGGGGAAUAUUGGGCAAUGGGCGCAAGCCUGACCCAGCAACGCCGCGUGAAGGAAGAAGGCUUUCGGGUUGUAAACUUCUUUUCUCAGGGACGAAGCAAGUGACGGUACCUGAGGAAUAAGCCACGGCUAACUACGUGCCAGCAGCCGCGGUAAUACGUAGGUGGCAAGCGUUAUCCGGAUUUAUUGGGCGUAAAGCGUGCGUAGGCGGCUUGUUAAGUCCAGAAUUAAAGCCCGAGGCUUAACCUCGGUUCGUUCUGGAUACUGGCAGGCUAGAGUAUGGUAG